CCUCGCACCGCCCCUCAGACUAAAGUCAGCACACAUCUCCUCUCAGCCAGACGCACCGAGAGACGGUGAGGAGAGAAGAGGAGAGCUCCGUGCGUAUUUACGCGUGUAUGUGUCCGGAGAGGAGAGUUGGAGAGUUGGAGAGUUGGAGAGCUGCGGCGCGCUGACAGGAGCUUGUCUGAGAGCAGGAGACCCAGCAGCAGCAGCAGCGGGUGAUUAGAAACCUCCAGAGAGGAGGAGGAGGAGGAGGAAGAAGAACCAGAGACGUCUGUCUUCUCUUACUGACUGCUCAUGGGACUGGAGAACCGGACCGGACCGUGAAGCUGCGCGUCUCUCCGGUGGAUGAUCCACUGGAUGCGGGACGAUGAUGGAUUAACAGCCUUCUGCAGGACCCCACCGCUUCUUCUUCUUCUUCUUUGUGUCCACCUCUUCCUCGGGAUUAUUUCAUCUCUCCCUGACCUCCCUGACCUCCCUCUCGAGAUGACCGAGGACUCUGUUCUGCGCUGCGUCCUGAUGCUCUGCUGCGCGCUCCUCUCGGCCAACGCGAGCAACUGGCUAUACCUCGCCAAGCUGUCGUCAGUGGGAAGCAUUAGGGAUGAGGAGACGUGCGAGAGGUUACGAGGCCUCAUCCAGAGACAGGUCCAGAUCUGUAAGCGCAGUGUGGAGGUGAUGGAUGCGGUGCGUCGUGGAGCCCAGCUGGCUAUAGACGAGUGUCAGUUUCAGUUUCGCAACCGUCGAUGGAACUGCUCCACUCUGGAGACCAUGCCCGUGUUCGGCAAAGUGGUCACCCAGGGCACCCGUGAGGCAGCCUUUGUGUAUGCCAUCUCAGCAGCCAGUGUGGCGUUUGCGGUCACGAGGGCCUGCAGCAGCGGAGAGCUGGAAAAAUGUGGCUGCGACCACAAUGUACAUGGAGUCAGUCCAGAGGGGUUCCAGUGGUCGGGCUGCAGUGAUAACAUUGCAUAUGGAGUGGCCUUUUCCCAGUCCUUUGUGGAUGUGAGGGAGAGGAGUAAAGGCCAGUCCUCCAGCCGGGCUCUCAUGAACCUGCACAACAACGAGGCCGGCAGGAAGGCCAUCCUGUCCCACAUGCGCGUGGAGUGCAAAUGUCACGGCGUGUCCGGCUCCUGCGAGGUGAAGACCUGCUGGAAAGCAAUGCCGCCCUUCCGCAAAGUGGGCAACGUCAUCAAGGAGAAGUUUGACGGCGCCACUGAGGUGGAGCAGCGCAAGGUGGGCACCACCAAAGUCCUGGUGCCUCGAAACUCCCAGUUCAAACCUCACACGGACGAAGAUCUGGUCUACCUGGAGCCCAGUCCGGAUUUCUGCGACUUUGACCCGCGCACGCCGGGCAUGCUGGGCACGGUGGGCCGCCAGUGCAACCGAACCUCAAAGGCCAUCGACGGCUGCGAGCUCAUGUGCUGCGGCCGCGGCUUCCAGACGCAGGAGGUGGAGGUGGUGGACAGGUGCAGCUGCAAGUUCCACUGGUGCUGUUACGUCAAAUGCAAACAGUGCCGCAAAAUGGUGGAGAUGCACACUUGCCGGUGAUGGGAGUGGGGGGCACAGAGGGCACUGCUGAUGAACAAAACAAACGCCCCACACUCCUGCUCAAGUACCAAGACCAGAGGGAGCGAGGAGGACUUGUGAACCUCCCUCUUCUCCUGCUUGAAACCACCCCACCCUCCUACUACUGGUCAACGGAAACAGACUGAGUCGCUCAGAGGUCAAAUGUCAUCCUAUUCAUUUUAUGCCACCUUAAUGGAUAUCAGUAGAUUAUGCAUGGGAUUUCCUACAAAGCUACAGAGGCAGUUUGUUUCUUCUCAAGUAGAGAGCAUCUUUCACUUUCUGUCUCCCUCCCUCACUCUCAUAUUUGCUUUGUCAUUGAUGCUUCUUAUUUUUGUAAUGUUUAACUUAUUUGUUGAGACUGAGAAGAUUGACGGGAGGGGGUGGACCUAGAAGGAGGGGACAGACGAAUGGAGAUAAUAAGGGACAAACUGGACCCAUGGGUGGGGUUAAGGGGUUUGGGCUGGGGUAAAGAGGAGGGUCGUUUGCCCUCCGUCCUUGCUGCUGCUGCUGCUGCUGCUGCUUCGGGGACUCACUUUGGAGUGCUGGAUGUCAAAAAGGGAGAGUCUGUCAGAGGACGGACAGGAGGAGCGUGUCACAGACGGACUUCCUGUGAUUUGCUUCCUGAGUGUACAUGGCUGCGCUGAUCUGCGCUGAGGUUCAGUUGCUGUUGAGUCAUUUAUUUUGCCCCUGCAAUGCCCUGAUGCUGCUCCACUCACACACACACUCACACUCACUGUCUUUCUGUCAGAGGGAGGGUGAUGACGGACAGGUGAAAGCCACUGCUUCCUGUCUUUUCUGCAGACCCGUAGCACUGGCAGGUGAUGGGCAACACAAAACACACACACAUACCCAGCAAACAUUGGACACCUGUAUUCAUCCACAGCUGCUAUACGUGCAACCAGAAACCUGAAGGCUCUUCUCCUUUUUCAUCUUCAUCUCAUCUGAUCAUUCCAACACACGGAUAUCUUCACAGCGACAUGAACAUCUGGAAUGAAGCUAAGUGCUGAGUGAGAGUGGUGGGCAGACGCCGCUGUUACGACCCAGCUCACUAGGGUAAAGGGAAGCGACAUGAAACCAGAUUUUCUUGGUAAAGUAAAGUUAUUUUAUUCACCAGGAGUUUGAUUUUUGUCAAUAACAAAAGGAGGCGAGGUAAACUAAAGGAAAAGGGGCUUGUGGGAGCUGUUAAAAAUCAAAGAAAUAAAUAGAACAAAAAGAGGAUUCUUAAAAUACGAGCUACGCGUCUAACUUACUAGAAAGAAAACCUCAAUAAUUAACUUAUUAGAACCAAAAAAAUCUACGUCUCUGCUAGCAAACACACUUUACCUGCUUCGGAGCUUUCAAA